rnacentral:rRNA from 1 species
GUGGGGAAUAUUGGACAAUGGGCGAAAGCCUGAUCCAGCCAUGCCGCGUGUGUGAAGAAGGUCUUCGGAUUGUAAAGCACUUUAAGUUGGGAGGAAGGGCAGUAAGUUAAUACCUUGCUGUUUUGACGUUACCGACAGAAUAAGCACCGGCUAACUUCGUGCCAGCAGCCGCGGUAAUACGAAGGGUGCAAGCGUUAAUCGGAAUUACUGGGCGUAAAGCGCGCGUAGGUGGUUUUGUAAGUUGGAGGUGAAAUCCCCGGGCUCAACCUGGGAACUGACUCCAAAACUGCAUGACUAGAGUACGGUAGAGGAUAGUGGAAUUUCCUGUGUAGCGGUGAAAUGCGUAGAUAUAGGAAGGAACACCAGUGGCGAAGGCGACUACCUGGACUGAUACUGACACUGAGGUGCGAAAGCGUGGGGAGCAAACAGGAUUAGAAACCCCGGUAGUCC